rnacentral:rRNA from 1 species
GUAAACCUCUUUUGUCAGGGAAGAACACAAUGACGGUACCUGACGAAUCAGCAUCGGCUAACUCCGUGCCAGCAGCCGCGGUAAUACGGGGGAUGCAAGCGUUAUCCGGAAUUAUUGGGCGUAAAGCGUCCGCAGGUGGUUGUCCAAGUCUGCUGUUAAAGCAUGGGGCUUAACUCCAUAUAGGCAGUGGAAACUGGGCGACUAGAGUACGGUAGGGGUCGCGGGAAUUCCCAGUGUAGCGGUGAAAUGCGUAGAUAUUGGGAAGAACACCAGUGGCGAAAGCGCGCGGCUGGACCUGUACUGACACUGAGGGACGAAAGCUAGGGGAGCGAAAGGGAUUAGAUACCCCUGUAGUCCUAGCUGUAAACGAUGGAUACUAGGUGUUGCCCGUAUCGACCCGGGCAGUGCCGUAGCUAACGCGUUAAGUAUCCCGCCUGGGGAGUACGCACGCAAGUGUGAAA